rnacentral:lncRNA from 1 species
GCUGACAGGUCCCUUCCCUGCAGCUCCCAUUGGCCCCCCUUUCUGGAGAUCCGCUUAUCCCUCCUUUCUCCGGACGUCUAAAGCGACAAGAUCAAACACCUCUCUCCGGACUAGAGUGACAUGAUCAAACACCUCCUCGAGCCCCCGUUGGAGCACGGCGGGAUCCAGUUCCAUCGAUUCAACAUCGAGAGCGACUCCCGACUCGAGGGCCUCAUCAAGAUGUCGGAUCCGGUGACCUCCUCGCCUUCCUCUCUCUCUCUCUCUCUCUCUCUCUCUCUCUCAUUUGCUCCCCCGGCUACGGGUCCCCUCUACUGCAGUUCCAAUUGGCCCCCCUUUCGCCAGAUCCGCUUCUCCCCCCUUUCUCCGGAUGUCUACAGAACACCUCAUCGACUCACCGCCGGAGCACGGCCGGAUCCAGUUCCACCGACUCAACAUCAAGAACGGCUCCUGACUCGAGGGCCUCAUCAAGAUGUCGGAUCUGGUGAGCUCCUCGCAUUCCUUCCC